AUACUUACCUGGCAGGGGCGAUUCCAUGAUCAGAAAGGUGGAUUUUCCAGGGUGAGGCUCACCCAUUGCACUCUGGACUUGCUGACCCCUGCAAUUUCCCCAAAUGUGUGAAACUCAACUGUGUAAUUUAUGGUAGUGGGGGACUGAGUGUGCACUCUCCCCUG